CCCCGUUACGUCUCAGCCGGGCGGAAGAGCCGCGGGAGCUCUCGCUACUGUUUUUACUUCCGCCCGGCUACUGCGUGGGAGAAACUGAAGCCGCUGUGCUUCUUCUCCCUGCCUGAGAGAUGCUGGGAGCCGGUCGAGAGCCGCUGAAUGGGGAAGCAACAAGCAUGAACUCAGAUUCCAAAGAGCAAGAUUUGAUACAUGAAGAGUUCACUUACAUUUCUGGAACCCUGACACAGAUUCUCAAGUGUGGCCCUUGGCAAGAUCUCUGGAAUGAUAAACCGGCACCCAGACUUCUAUUUCUAGUUAUCCCUGGUAAUCCAGGAUUGGCUGGCUUUUACCGGAUAUUCAUUGAGAGUUUAUAUUUUAGUCUGAAUCAGCAGUAUCCCGUGUGGGCCGUUAGCCAUGGUGGACAUUGUAAAAUUCCUCCUGAAAUCAAAAGAAAGGAAGAGACGGUUUCGCAUGACACCGAUGAUGUUUUUGGGCUUCAAGGACAAGUUGAACACAAGUUGAAAUUCCUCCGAAAGUAUGUGCCAAAAGAUGUCAAGCUCGUACUUAUUGGACACUCAAUUGGCAGUUAUAUUGCUCUUAAAAUUAUGAAACAUUCACCAGAAUCAGAGAUUCUCCGCAGCAUCCUGCUCUUCCCUACGAUAGAACGCAUGGCACAAACCCCAAAUGGCAAGCUCCUGACUCCCCUGUUCUGCUGGCUCCGUUAUAUUCUCUACAUCCCUAUAUUUUUGUUCACCCUUUUACCAGAAAGAGUCAAAAGGUUUUUUGCCCAUUUUGCACUGUUUCGGCAGAAACGGAUUCAUGAAACUCUAGUGAUGACAUCUGUGGACAUGCUUAACAUGGAUUGUAUUGCAAACAUCAUGUACCUGGCAAGCCAAGAAAUGAGAAGUGUUCUAGAGCGAGACAAUUCUACAAUAAAGCAGCAUUUAAAUAAGCUGAUUUUUUACUAUGGAGCCACUGAUAGAUGGUGUCCUCUGCAGUACUACGAAGAGAUGAAGAUGGAGUUUCCAGACGGAAAUAUUCGAAUGUGUGAGAAAGGAAUCUGCCAUUCUUUUGUAUUGGAUUCCAGCAAAGAAAUGGCUGAAAUGAUAACAGGCUGGAUACAGGAUGAUCUCGCCAAGCUAUGAUGAAGACAGAGUGGAUAGCAGGAGAAAUUAGCUGUAUUGUAAUCUUCCUUGAUAGAUUAUGCCUUGAUAUGUCUGUGCAUUAUGGUUUGCUUUUUUCUGGAAGCUUUGGUGUUACCCUGAUGACUCAAAUUACAUUCCCGUUGACAGGUUUCUAACAAAUACCCAAGGUAAGGUUGUAAACACAUGGGGAUGACGGCAUCAAACCAGAGCCCUGGAUUCCUUUAGGCCAGUGUCAGCCUCCCUCUACAAACAGUGACUACUUGUUCAGCCUUCACCACUACCUAAGCUAGGGUAGCCCUGUGAUUAUGAGGGGAGAGAGCCUAAUGGAAAAUUGUGCACAUAGACAUGCUGUGCAUCUCUUUUUGCUGGAAAAAAAAGCCCAGGGCACAACUGGACUUCGUUCUUGGAAGAAGCUCCAUUUCCAACAGCACCACUAUCUGCUGCUGGCCAAGAUGGGAAAAGAAAGAAGAAGAAGAAAAGAAGAUGUUUGUCACUUGGUUCACAUUUUUGCAAACUUAGGAGUUGUGUUUGGAUGAUCGGCUUGGCUGGUUCUGUGCUAUGCGAUCCCUCCUCCCCACUCCCAGGAAAACUCCGAGCUGGUAGCAGACAACAAAGAGAGUGGCCAUCUUGGCAGGAAGCCCAGGCAUUGCUAAGGUACCUGGAAGGCUGUCCCCAUCAGCUGUGUGAUAGUGGUGGGCUGGAGGGGGGGGGGGGUGUUUUAAUCAUAGGAGAAAGGAUUCACCUGUUGAUUGAAGCCAUUGCAGGCAGGAUGGGCCCAAGGUUUAACUAGCUUCACCCCCUUCUCAUCUGGCUUCAUCCCCACCCCUGUUGCUGCAGGGAGUAAAAAGAAAAAGGAUUACUGGGAGGACCGGCCUAUCUAAAACUUUAAUCUUAAUUUAGCCUGAGGGCCAGCAACAGAAAGAAAUGGAAAGUCCCACAUUUAUUCCUUGCAGGUUUUUCUAAGGGUGGAAGUUAGUUUAAUCCAAACCAACCCUGAGGAUCUCCCAUAGGACAACUAACCUUAUCUAGCCCCAUUAUUGCCUGGGGUUAGCAUAUCAAUAUAUCGUCCCCCACCUACCCCUCCAGUAGGUAUAUAUAAACAGAGCUACAAGGAAUUUGCCCCAGAGCUUCCACAGGAUAUCAUGUUGAACUGUUAUAAAACUUCAAUAGGUGUAUUAAAUGUUCUGACCUACAUGCAUAUAUAUAUAUUGCUUGGGCAUAUAUUAAUAUUACUGGAAAUCCAAGUGGCAUAAGCAUGUCUAGCAUUGUUUCUAACAUUUAAGAAAGGGUUUUUUAUUUUUUAAGAGAGAAUUUACUUUACCCCUCUGUAUUGGCCACUUAAAGCACCAUCAGCCUUAAGAGGGCAAAAGCAAAAGGGGGAUUAAGGAAGGUUUUUGAAGUGUAAAAAACUAUUCUGUAUGGGUGUUAUAUUUACAUAAACUGUAAAUAUUAUUGUUUGUAUACUGUUUUAUUUGGUGGUCUCAUUAAAUCCUGGUGUUUUGUGGAUCUUAAAAAAAACAUAUCCCUACAAUAUUUUUGUGUGUAAGAUGUGGUCACUCAGAGGAACAUUUAUAACCUGGUAGUAACAAAUGUUGCCCGCCAAAAGGAAAACCAAGUUUUUUAAACGUUCAAUAUUUAAUCAAAAACACCCAGCUAUGACCAUAGGACACAUUCAUGCAGUGAAGUAUGAUCCAUUUGUCCAGUGACAGCCUAUUUUCAGAAUAUGAUACUUAUUAAUUUUGCUACUCUUUUCAUUCUAUGUUCAACUCAAUAAUCCUAUCUUGGAACUAUUGCAGGAUUUCUCAACGCAAUUUUAAUCAUAGGGAUUCAUUGCCUGCUUUUACUUGAAACUUCUUCUUGCUUUCUGUGUUUGAAUGAUUCAUUUGAUCUUUGUUUCAGAAUGCUGUUAUCCCAGAAAACUGAAAUUGAUAAGUGAUGAAUAAACAUUUUUUCUCAGUUUUAAUUUUGGAUUAAAUGGAAUAAAUGAAACUGAGCCAGAGCAAGUACUAGGGGUGCAAUUUUACAGUCAGUUUCUACCUUUGUUUGUUCAGAAGUAACACAACACUAUUCAUUGCUAUUCAUUGCUUUGUAAGUUUCAAAAUAUGUUUGUAUGGAAGAAAGGAUUUGAUUUGCAGAAAAUAAAAAAGAUUUGCAUUAGGAA